AUAGUUUAGUAUCCCUCUUCCCUUGAAGCUCAAUGUGGUAUGUGACUCUUCUGCUUCUCCUCCUUCAUUCUUAGUUCCUCUUUCCUGUUUUGCUAUUAUGUCGAAUACAGAAGAGGUGAAGCUCUCUAAGGAACUAUGGAAUUUCAUUCGCGCUAAGUCUAUCACUGUCAAUGGAAAGUCAUACAGAUGUUGAUAACAGAGGUCCAUCAACUCGGCAACUCGUAGGGGAUUCGCAUGAGAAGAAGUGACAUUGUAAACUUUGAACUCGGAGAAACCACAACCAUGCUUUGCCAUUGCUGCUAUAGUUGCGUUCACAACCAUAUCAACAGGUAUAAUGUCCGCGAAAGAUUGAGAAUCUCCCCAGAGGCCAGAAAUCUGGCCUUUGCCAUAGGCCAAGAUUAUUGGAUCACUCAUCCUGAUUUUUAGAAACCAUAAAAACAUGAAUCAAGAGCUGAUCUAAUCCCUUAGUCUUUAACAAUGAAAAUCUUUAACCUUAUUCCUUGGAGCCAGCCAGGGAAAGGCUCCUUGUAAGAGCUUUCUAUAAUGCUAGGCCUUAUGAUCGCUACAGGCACAUCUUCUCGCAUGGUUUGGAUUAAUGGGUUUCUUAUAAAUGAAAAUAAUUAGAAAAAAUAAAAAAGCAAAUAAAUGGAUGAGAGAGACAAGAGAACGUCUCUUCUCUUAAGGGCAACCCUAUUAAUGGGAUCUAAACAAGUAUCCAACAGUGAAAACAGUGAAAAAAAUUGAAAAAGGAGGAGAGGGACAAAGAAAUGACUCUGGUUUUAGAACCUCAACAAAAAAAACCAACAUAGUUUUUGUCUAUAUGUUGCUUCAUGAUUAGCUACAUCAUUAUUUGUGAUUUAAAAUUAAUUAUUAACUAAAUUAAAUUCAAUUAGAAACCCAUGGAACUGCUUAACGAGGAGACUUUGUCCAAAGUUACAAGAGACGCUUGCCAUUUGUCUAUUAUUUAUUGGCUUAUUUUUUUUGAUAUUAAAAUUUUUGUUUGAGAAACUGUGUAAAGUUUGGAUCACUGCAGGUGCCCUAAUAAUGUGCAGAGAGUAUUAUUUCCCCUUCAUCCUCACCUUUGGAUACCAAGUUCUUUCAGAUUCUUGAUUUCUCCACUGCCAUGCAACUUUCUCACAGCUUCUGAAGCUAAUUUCAGCUCAUGUUCGAUGUUCAAGUCAGAAGUUAUAUUUUCUCCAUUAGAUUUUUAGUUGGCCGACUUUAAACAAUUAAUUAAAAUUAAUCUUAAAGUAAACAAGAAACUGAGAUCCCUUCUUACAGACAUCCUUCUCGCAUAAUCAGUUUUCUUAAUUACAUACCAUGUCCGACCAUUAUCUCAUGAUCUCAAGCAAAUUAAAAAAACAUUUUCUUUUUCGAAAAAAAUAAAUAAAGAAAGAGAAGAUAGAAGAGAGAAAGGGAUCGCAAUUUGCAAACAUCUGUAAUAAUUAUUCUUUGUGAUUUCGAGAGGAGAGGACAGCUCCAAUCUUUCUGUCUCUCUCCCUCUCAAUCAAGUGUAUUGAAAUUGUGAAUCUUUCUUCGGAGGAAACAAGAGAUUUGUCCUGUUUCUGGGAUUUUUUGUCCUGAUUUGAUCCCAUCUCUGACACCUUUGUCUAUAGAUGGUUUUCUGAUUCUGGGUUCUUCCAAAUUUCUUAACUUUGUUGUUUGUUCCUCCUCCUUUAGUUAUGGCUUGGAAUGAGACCAAACUCAAGAGGCUCUAUCAAGUUUGGAGAGGAAGCAAUGUAAGUUCUUGUCUAAUGUCGCUUUGGUGUUUGAUUCAUAUACUCUAUAGGUUCAGUGGUUGUUAGUAUCUUUGAGUCUUGAUUGGUUCAUAUAUAGAAACUUCAGGUUCUUAAUUUGUGAUUUUGACUUUGAUUUUUCUCCAGAAAUUUCUUUGUGGAGGGAGGUUAAUCUUUGGUCCAGAUGCAUCAUCUCUAUACCUAUCGACCAUCUUGAUCCUCGGUCCCUCGGUGAUGUUCUUUGUAAAAAUGUACUUGAAAAUGGCUGAUCCUCUCACCAAGAAUCGAAACCUCUGUGUUCCAAUUCUCUCUGUCGCUUGGAUACUCACCCUUUUGGUAUGUCUUCUUCUUUCCCAUCUCUGUAGAUGAUGACGACUUUAUUGUCUUAAUGUAAACUAAAGCUUCAAUAGUUUUCUUUCAGGACAUAUUUUUCCUCUUCAUGACAUCUGGUAGAGAUCCUGGGAUUGUGCCUAGAAGUCUUAGACCUCCUGAAUCAGAUGAUGUACCUGACUCAACUACUCCUUCCAUGGAAUGGGUUAGCGGUAGAACCCCAAAUAUAAGGCUACCAAGGGUUAAAGAUGUAACUGUUAAUGGCCAUACCGUAAAAGUCAAGUUCUGUGAUACUUGUUUGCUUUACCGUCCACCUAGAGCUUCUCAUUGUUCCAUCUGCAACAACUGUGUACAGAGGUUCGACCAUCACUGCCCUUGGGUUGGCCAGUGCAUUGGAGUGGUAAGUCAGAAAACAUAUUCUCGAGUACUAUGUUGUCUAUGUGUUUUGAAAUUGUUUUUAACUCUUUGCAGAGAAACUACCGGUUCUUCUUCAUGUUCAUAUCAACAUCAACCACUCUGUGCGUAUAUGUGUUUGUGUUCUCUUGGUUGAACUUAUUCCAAAGACAUAUGGAUGAGAAGAUUACCAUCUGGAAAGCAAUAUCCAAAGAUGUUCUGUCUGAUAUUCUCAUUGUUUACUGCUUCAUUACCGUUUGGUUUGUUGGUGGGCUCACUAUAUUUCAUUCCUACCUCAUCUGCACUAACCAGGUGAUUAGAAAUAUAACCAUCCUUUGUGUUUCUCUCUCUCUCUUUUUGUGUGUUCUAAUUCUGAAUGUGUUUUUGUGCAGACUACUUAUGAGAACUUCCGUUACCGAUAUGAUAAGAAGGAGAAUCCAUACAACAAAGGAGUUUUGGGGAACAUAAGGGAAAUAUUUCUAUCUAAGAUUACUCCAUCCAUGAACAAGUUUAGAUCAUUUGUGAAAGAAGAAGAUUACAUGAUGGUUGAAACUCCUACAUCAAAUCUUGGUGAAAGUCUAGUGAGCUCAAAAGAGAAGAUUGAUAUUGAGAUGGGAGGAGGAGGAAGGAUUGUUGAUGAGGGUGGAAAAACUUACUCACUCCCUGAGAUUCUCAGGAAUCUAAACUAUGAAGACCUUGACGAUGACUGUGAGGAAGAUGACUUGAAGGCCAAGGAUCAUCACCACCACCUCCACCAUCAUCAUCAGAAUGAGGAAAUCAUCCCUCCUUUUGACCCUUUCUUCACCAAUGACAAUGGUGUUAACAAGGAUGAGAAAAAUGGACAAGAAUCAAGAGGAUCUUCAAGUGAUAAUGGAGAUUCAGGGAAACACGUUGGAGUCUCCACUGAUGAUGAAGAAAAAGCUGAAGGGUAUGAACAAAAAUGGAGUAUGGACAGUGUCAUGAACAUAAACGCAGGAUCUGAAGAUGGAGCAAGCUCUCCUCAAUCUACUUCCCCAAUGCUUCGUAAAUAGAGGUAAUGAAAAUUAAGGAUUAUCCCUCUCUGUUCUGUGUUGCCUUGCUUUACAAGAUACCAUUUUUUUUUACUAACACUGUCUUUGUUAAAAAAUGAAGGGCUUGAAGCUGGAGAAGUGGAGAAUGUUCUUUGUCAUUCUUUUAACUGUGUUUCAUAUAAUUGUGGAGAAAGAAAAAUCCAGAGAAAUAAUAAACAUUGUAGGUUUUGUGCGUUUGAGGUGUAUUAGUUUUUUGUUUUCAUUUUAGUUGUAUUUAUAUUCACAUAUUUUUGUUAUUAAAAUGAUUUGGACCACGAAUUGUAAUGUAUACGAUUGUACUUGAAUAUUAUUUUCUUUUUAUUUAUUUGUUGGUUGAUUGAUUUUCAUUUUCCAUGUGUUAUUUCUCUUCUAGGCAUAGGCAUGUGCGUUCGGGUUUCGGGUUUACAGUCAAAGGUUCUAAUUUAAUUUUUUUUAGAGCGGAUCGGUUUUAGAUAAUAUCACUUCAGGUUUAGUUCAAAAUUGUGUUGCAUUGUAAAAUCUAUAAAGUAAUCAAAUAUCUGUCGGUUUUAAGUUUUUUGGUUCGGUUCGGAUUAUACUAAAAUAACAUACAAAAUUAUGAAACAGAUCAUGUGAAACAUAAUCCUUAAUCUGAAAUGAAAACUACUAGGCACACAUCCAAUCCGAAAAGGACACUCCAUAGUUCAAUAAAACCAAAAAAACAACAUUCCAUAGUUCAAUCACAGCCGAAACAACAAUAUUCGAUAGUCGAAUAAUACCUGAAGAAAACAGUGAAAUGACUAGAGUCCAUUAAUUCUUAUACACCUGGAAAUUUGGGUUGCGAUAAAAACGAGUUAUGCAAAUUAAUGCAAAAAGUUACAAGAAACCUUCACCAUUAUGCAAAUAUAAUCAUCAAACAUGAAAAUCUUCAAAAGGCAACUCAUAACAGUGUAAUUAGACGUGAAUCCUUAGAAAACAAGUAAAAUUAUCAACAGUAAAAUUGUCUAGAUAAUAUUUGUGAUAGUUCACAAUAUCAUAACUAACUAGCAUUGAAUAAAUCAUAUAGUAUACUUCAGUUUCCAUAAAAUAAUAUUUUAUAUAAAUAAUUUCAAAUUUAUGUAGUUUAUUUACGAUAAAAAUUUGUUUUAGUGCAAUUUGAAAUUAUUUCUCAAGUUAUAUUUUAAUUUUAAUUUUUUUGUUAUUAAGCAGAUUGUCCCUUAGAACUUGCAUGAAAAUUUUAUAGUAAAUAAACAAUAGGUGAUACACUUGGUGAACUCAAGCAGUUGUACCAAUCAAAUCACUCUCUUUCAACUUAACUUUUCCUUACAGAUUUCUCUUUUGAGACCUGGAAGAUGAACGUUCACAAUGUAAUGCUCCCAAUCAAUGCUUUUUAUAUCGAACUCAAAUAUUUUUCUCUCUUCCAUUGACAUCUCCUGAAUAAGACUCCUCGUAUUGGUGUCAUCAAACCUAGGAUAUUGACCAAUAUUCAGUAAUUUAAUAAAUAAAAAAAGUCCAAGCUUGUUACUUACCGAGCUUUAAAAAAUGUGUAAGGCUCAUAUGUUCUUGCUAAGGACACAAAAUAGUUUAGUAUCCCUCUUCCCUUGAAGCUCAAUGUGGUAUGUGACUCUUCUGCUUCUCCUCCUUCAUUCUUAGUUCCUCUUUCCUGUUUUGCUAUUAUGUCGAAUACAGAAGAGGUGAAGCUCUCUAAGGAACUAUGGAAUUUCAUUCGCGCUAAGUCUAUCACUGUCAAUGGAAAGUCAUACAGAUGUUGAUAACAGAGGUCCAUCAACUCGGCAACUCGUAGGGGAUUCGCAUGAGAAGAAGUGACAUUGUAAACUUUGA
rnacentral:lncRNA from 1 species